GGGGACCGGGAGGGGGUUUGGGGGGCACCGGGAGCUGUCGGGGAGAUGGCAGAACGAGUGCGGCUGCUGCGGUGCUGGGGGGGACUGCGGGGUACUGGGAGAUAAUGGGGGGUACUGGGAGAUAAUGGGGGGUACUGCGGGGUACUGGGGGGUACUGGGGUGGGAUACUGGGGAAUAUUGGGAGAUACUGGGGGAUACUGGGGAUAUUGGGGUGGGAUACUGGGAGAUAUUGAGGGUACUGGGGGAUACUGGAAGAUAUUGGGGGAUACUGGGAGAUACUGGGGUGGGAUACUGGGAGAUAUUGGGAGAUAUUGAGAGAUACUGGGGUGGGAUACUGGGAGAUAAUGGGGGAUACUGGGGGAUACUGGGAGAUACUGGGAGAUAAUGAGGGAUACUGGGGGAUACUGGGGGGUACUGGGAGAUAAUGAGGGAAACUGGGGGAUACUGGGAGAUAUUGGGGGAUAGUGGGGGAUACUGGAAGAUAUUGGAGGAUACUGGGAGAUAUGGGGGUGGGAUACUGGGGGGUACUGGGCAGGAUAUGGGGGAUCACUUGGGGACCGCCUGCCCCACACUUAUGGGGUUCACCGUGAGCCCACUGGGGUCAAUUGGAGAUCUUCUGCCCCACAUCUGUGGGGUUCCAUGUGGGCUCAUAGGGGUCACCUGGGGACCUUCUGCCCCACACUUAUGGGGAUUGCUGUGGGUUCGUGGGGGUCUGUUGGAGAUGUUCUGCCCCACAUUUAUGGGGUUUCCCAGGGUUUAUGGGGGUCACUUGGAGAGCUGCUGCCCCACACUUAUGGGGUUCCCUAUGGGCUCACGGGGGUCACCUGGGGACCUUCUGCCCCACACUUAUGGGGAUUGCUGUGGGUUCGUGGGGGUCUGUUG
ensembl:lncRNA